GCGGCCCGCGGGUCUGUUUUUAAUUGGCCCGCAGCAAAUUUUGAAAAUAUAAUUGAAUAUGGCCCGCACAUGGCGCUCAACUCUGUUGCACUCCUCAGUUUCAACACUAGAUGGAGUUGGUCACAGAAAGGUGUUUCUCCACUAAACAAAAUUAAGCAAAGAAGACUAUUUACCACGAGUCGCCAGAAGUGGCAGAACCGAAGAAACGCAAGAUAGCAAAUGUUACCGUGAUGAAAGAGUAAAAUGUCCGUCGGCACUAUGAGACCAAGCAUCAGAGCAGCUACGCUUCAUACACAGGUGCCGAACGAGCACAGAAAUUCAAGCAAAUGGCAGCUAGCCUGCAAGUUGAACAACAGUUUUUUUUUUCCCAUCACGGCUUUAUAAGAGCAAAGGGCACAGGCUUAGGAACUAAAGGAAGCUCCUAUGAGCUGUCUCCGUCUGACACCUACAAGGAUGCUGUUCGCAAGGCCAUGUUUGCAUGCUACACAAAGAUAGAGUGAACCUAAAAGGUGAAGAAAAUGCAUUCUGAACUGUGAAAAAGUAUUCCCUUAUGUAAAAAAGAACUUGUUUUGUUUUUGGAAUUUUUUUUGUUCAUAGCUGCAUAUUUUGUCACAGAGUGAAAUUGUAAAAUGAAGCUUUUAAAUUGUGUGUGUUUAAUGUUAAAAUUGUCCUCGUUGGUCACCCAUAAGCCCUUUUUUUUGGUCUACUUUUCUGAGAAAACAGUCGACUCUUUAUAAACUACAAAGUCGUGUACUCUGCCAGUCAACCACACUAACAGCUACGUAUGUAAAGAUCUGCUGGCUUCAGCUGCUCAAUAAACCUGUUCUGAACUGCCUGGUUGGAA